GAUGAAGAACGUAGCGAAACGCGAUACGUAAUGUGAAUUGCAGAAUUCAGUGAAUCAUCGAAUCUUUGAACGCACACUGCGCCCCCCAGUAUUCUGGCGGGCAUGCCUGUUCGAGCGUCAUUUCAACCAUCAAGCCCUGCUUGUGUUGGGGUCCUGCGGCUGCCCGCAGGCCCUGAAAACCAGUGGCGGGCUCGCUAGUCACACCGAGCGCAGUAGCACAUCUCGCUCAGGGCGUGCGGCGGGCUCCAGCCGUUAAAGCACCCACCUUUCGCAAGGUUGACCUCGGAUCAGGUAGGAAUACCCGCUGAACUUAAGCAUAUCAAUAAGCGGAGGA
rnacentral:misc_RNA from 1 species